GAUGGAAUACAUCGCAGAUAUCAAUAGCAAUGGUAGCCCCUGGUACACGUCUUCGGUCAAGGGCCGGGUCAGGAUCUCCAGGGACAACGGGCAGAGCUCGGUGACGCUGACCAUGAACAACCUCAAGGACGAGGAUUCUGCCGUCUAUUUCUGUGCCAAAGAAGGUGGUAAUGCUGUCGGUGGUAAUAACGCUAAUUAUAUUGACGCCUGGGGCAGCGGCACGACGGUCACGGUGUCCAGCGCCUCGGCCCGUGCCCCGGAUCUGUUCCCGCUGUCCCCGUGCGGCGCCAGCUCCCUGUUCUCCGUGGGCUGCGUCGCCGUCGGCUUCGCGCCGGCGCCGGUCGGCUUCGCCUGGAGCGACAGCCGGAACCAAAGCGUGGCCGGCGCCGCCUUCCCGGCGCUGCCGAGCUCCGGAACCUUCCUGGCGGCCUCGCGGCUGGGCAUGGGGCUGGAGGAGGGGAAAUCCCGGCAGCCCUUCCGCUGCCAGGCCCGGCACGCCGCGGGCAGCCGCAGCGUCGAGGUGUUUAACCCAGGCCCCGGCGCGGCGCCGCCCUCCCCGCCCUCCCUCACGCUCUUCCCGCCGUCCCGCGAGGAGUUCCAGGGCCCCUACCGCAACGCCACCCUCCUCUGCCAAGCCCGCGGCUCCCGGCGCGGCCUCGGCUCCGCCCCCAUCCGCUGGCGGCGCAACGGCGCGCCCGUCAGCGAGGGCGUGGCCCACGAGGGGCCGGUCCCGGAAGGUUCCGGCGUCUUCGUGGCCGGCAGCCGGGUGGUGGUGACGGAGGCCGAGUGGGAGAGCGGCGUCGUCUUCACCUGCCAGGCCGGGGAGGAGACGAGGAACACCAGCAAGGCCAUGGAGUGCGGAUACGAUGCGCCGCUGGCCGCCGGCGAGAUCCGCGUGGAGCCGGUGCCGCCGCCCUUCGCCGACGUCUUCCGCGAGCGCUCGGCGCGCCUCACCUGCCGCGUCUCCAACCUGCCGGCGCCGGCCGAGG